CGACGCUGUAUCUAAGGCCUUCGUCGAACAUUACUAUUCCACCUUCGACACCAACCGUGUCGGUCUCGCUGGUCUCUAUCAGGAAGCUUCUAUGCUCACCUUCGAAGGUCAAAAGAUCCAAGGAGUCCAGAGCAUCGUCGCUAAGCUCACCUCUCUUCCUUUCCAGCAGUGCAAGCAUCACAUCUCCACCGUUGAUUGUCAGCCUUCUGGUCCUGCUUCCGGUAUGCUCGUUUUCGUCUCCGGUAAUCUCCAGCUCGCCGGAGAAGAACACGCUCUCAAGUUCAGCCAGGUAUCUCUCUCUCUUUCUCUUCGAUUUCCGAUUGAUCUAUCUUUGUUUGGAUUUGUUUGAUUUGCUUGUGAGUUUAGUUAUUAGAUCGCUAGGGUUUUAGAUUAGCUGAUGGAUCUGUAAAUCUGACUCUUUAAAGGAUGUAGAAUUGCAAAUUCGUUGCGACUUGUUAUCUGAUUCGUUUUGAGCUACAAUGAUCGAUGAUGUUGUGACUCGUGUAUAGCUCAUUGAUGAAAAACUUUGCAUUAGUCUCUGUUUAGUCUCGAAGAACAAGUUUGGCUCUGAGUUUUGUUGAUUAGAUUGAAGAGAAUUGUUUUCCCUCGCCACAAUUGAUGGAUUUCUUGUCCAUGAAUGAGAUUGAAUAAGCUGGUUAUGUCGAUGUUAUGUAUUGUUUGCUUUGUUAUCUCUGAUCUUUUUUUUGUUUUUUUUGGUAUCUUUGAUC
rnacentral:lncRNA from 1 species